rnacentral:rRNA from 1 species
AUGCACGCUGGCGGCGUGCCUAAUACAUGCAAGUCGAGCGAACAGACGAGGAGCUUGCUCCUCUGACGUUAGCGGCGGACGGGUGAGUAACACGUGGAUAACCUACCUAUAAGACUGGGAUAACUUCGGGAAACCGGAGCUAAUACCGGAUAAUAUAUUGAACCGCAUGGUUCAAUAGUGAAAGACGGUUUUGCUGUCACUUAUAGAUGGAUCCGCGCCGCAUUAGCUAGUUGGUAAGGUAACGGCUUACCAAGGCAACGAUGCGUAGCCGACCUGAGAGGGUGAUCGGCCACACUGGAACGGAGACACGGUCCAGACUCCUACGGGAGGCAGCAGUAGGGAAUCUUCCGCAAUGGGCGAAAGCUUGACGGAGCAACGCCGCGUGAGUGAUGAAGGUCUUCGGAUCGUAAAACUCUGUUAUUAGGGAAGAACAAAUGUGUAAGUAACUAUGCACGUCUUGACGGUACCUAAUCAGAAAGCCACGGCUAACUACGUG